rnacentral:rRNA from 1 species
GAUGCAGGCGCAUGCCGCGUGUGUGAAGAAGGCCUUCGGGUUGUAAAGCACUUUCAGUUGUGAGGAAAAGUUAGUAGUUAAUACCUGCUAGCCGUGACGUUAACAACAGAAGAAGCACCGGCUAACUCCGUGCCAGCAGCCGCGGUAAUACGGAGGGUGCGAGCGUUAAUCGGAAUUACUGGGCGUAAAGCGCACGCAGGCGGUUUGUUAAGCUAGAUGUGAAAGCCCCGGGCUCAACCUGGGAUGGUCAUUUAGAACUGGCAGACUAGAGUCUUGGAGAGGGGAGUGGAAUUCCAGGUGUAGCGGUGAAAUGCGUAGAUAUCUGGAGGAACAUCAGUGGCGAAGGCGACUCCCUGGCCAAAGACUGACGCUCAUGUGCGAAAGUGUGGGUAGCGAACAGGAUUAGAUACCCUGGUAGUCCACACCGUAAACGCUGUCUACUAGCUGUGUGUGCCUUUAAGGCGUGCGUACCGAAGCUAACGCGCUAAGUAAACCGCCUGGGGAGUACGGCCGCAAGGUUAAAACUCAAAUGAAUUGACGGGAGCCCGCACAAGCGGUGGAGCAUGUGGUUUAAUUCGAUGCAACGCGAAGAACCUUACCUACACUUGACAUGCUGAGAAGUUACUAGAGAUAGUUUCGUGCCUUCGGGAACUCAGACACAGGUGCUGCAUGGCUGUCGUCAGCUCGUGUCGUGAG